GUGGGGAAUAUUGGACAAUGGGCGAAAGCCUGAUCCAGCCAUGCCGCGUGUGUGAAGAAGGUCUUCGGAUUGUAAAGCACUUUAAGUUGGGAGGAAGGGUAGUAACCUAAUACGUUGCUACUUUGACGUUACCGACAGAAUAAGCACCGGCUAACUUCGUGCCAGCAGCCGCGGUAAUACGAAGGGUGCAAGCGUUAAUCGGAAUUACUGGGCGUAAAGCGCGCGUAGGUGGUUCAGUAAGUUGGAAGUGAAAUCCCCGGGCUCAACCUGGGAACUGCUUUCAAAACUGCGGAGCUAGAGUACGGUAGAGGGUGGUGGAAUUUCCUGUGUAGCGGUGAAAUGCGUAGAUAUAGGAAGGAACACCAGUGGCGAAGGCGACCACCUGGACUGAUACUGACACUGAGGUGCGAAAGCGUGGGGAGCAAACAGGAUUAGAAACCCUUGUAGUCC
rnacentral:rRNA from 1 species